GGAAGAAGCAGACACAUACAGGACCCCACAGAGUGCGAUGACAAAGGAUGGAUGGACAGAAUCAAGUUCUAGGUGGCAUCGAGACAGAAGGAUCCUCACAGCACAAAGCAUCGAUGACACAGAAGCUCUUAUCCAGAAGCCCUCGCGCCCGCAGUCCUGGGAACAAAGUCAGGAGAGCAGUAGGGCUAAAUCUACGGUGACGGUGACGGGAGCAAACGGUUAACACUCACUCCACAAAGGAGGAAGACUCUGGCUGUCACUCUCCCGAGCUAGCUGCUUGCCUUAGGCAUUGGUGCAGAGGGACUCUGAUCACCAGCGUCACCUGGCAAGCAAAGGACAGUCACAAACAGAGAUGUCUACAAUCUGGUCAAGCUGAAUCCCACAGUAGCCUGCCGCAAGGACAUUCAUGUCACAUACAGAGAGGUCCUUGUGGUGAGGAGCUCAGGCUGUGAGAAUCCACAGCUGGUCUUAGACAAGUGGGCUUGGAUAUGGAUCCUCCCAAGACGAUCUACCACGUGUGAUCUUGGCCCUAAGGACAGCGUGAAUUCCUCCUCGUGAGAAGACCUCCUGGAUCUCUAAUCCUCUGAAACUGUUGGAAAUGGCAGUUACCAUGUUAAGUAUUUUAAGUGCAGUAGUCAUGGAACAAGAAAAGAGUAAUGCAGAGCCCUUUGUCACAUUGUACUGUGCCUAUGGAAGGUGUCUUCCCUGACCUCCAUGUUUAAAGCUUCAUCAAUCACAAGGGCACUUUAAAAGAAUGUACUAUAAAAUGAUCUAUAGAGACCAAUGCUUGACAGCUUCAGCCUAGGCUUAUCAUGAAACAAGCGCGCUGCUGUAGUCACAUGGUAGCCACCUUCCUCUGUCAAUUG
rnacentral:lncRNA from 1 species